AGCAGCCGCGGUAAUUCCAGCUCCAAUAGCGUAUAUUAAAGUUGUUGCAGUUAAAAAGCUCGUAGUUGAAUUUCGGAAUUUGUCGAUUGGUCGGGCUUCACUGUCCGCACUGGCCUGAUGGAUUCCUACCUUCUGAAUAACCAGCAUGCUAUUAAUUUAGUGCGUUGGGGAAGCAGAGCUAUUACCUUGAAAAAAUUAGAGUGCUUAAAGCAGGCUCACGCUUGAAUAGAUUAGCAUGGAAUAAUAAAAUAGGACGGCUUGGUUCUAUUUUGUUGGUUUCUAGGAUCACCGUAAUGAUUAAUAGGGAUAGUUGGGGGCAUUAGUAUUCAAUUGUCAGAGGUGAAAUUCUUGGAUUUAUUGAAGACUAACUUCUGCGAAAGCAUUUGCCAAGGAUGUUUUCAUUAAUCAAGAACGAAAGUUAGGGGAUCGAAGACGAUCAGAUACCGUCGUAGUCUUAACCAUAAACUAUGCCGACUAGGGAUCGGACGAUGUUAAUUUUUUUAAUGACUCGUUCUUGGCG
rnacentral:rRNA from 1 species